rnacentral:lncRNA from 1 species
GUAUUUUUAGAACCUACUACCACUGUGCACGGUACACAGCAGGUGACUUACAUCUGCGUGCUGAAGUGGUAAGUGGAUGGAAGGAAAGAACAUGAAUGGACAGAUGAAUGGAAGAAAGGAAACAUUGGAUGAAGAAAGGAGAGAGCCAACCGUGACAUAGCAGGGCCUAAGGAGCAGCAGGAAGUGUUUCGUGUUGACAUUUCUACUGGAGUCAUAACCAGCAGCAGAGGGCUCCUCAUUCACACCCACAGCUCCACAAAGAGAGACAGCAAAGGAGACACAGAGGCAGGGGAGCAACCCACCGGAACAGGAAGUCAGAGAAGAAGCCAUGCAGCUAUAGCCCAAGAAUGCCCGGGGCCACCAGAAGCUGGAAGAGGUAAGAGAGGAUUCUCCACUUUGGAAGGAGCACAGCUCUGCUAACACAGUGAGUUCAGACGUGUGGUCUCCAGAACCGUGAAAGAAAAAAUUUCUGCUGUUUUGAGCCGUCCAGUUUGCGGUUACUUGAUGCAGCAACCCUAGAAAGCUCAUACAGAUACUUCCUGGAAAUUGACCUAAAUGAAAACACUCUUUCUUCCUCCCCCAUUUCAUUUGGUGAUAAAGUGUCUGUCUAAAGGAAAUGGAAAUUAUCCAAGUAAAAUGAUAAUUGUGAUCAAAUCUCUUCUUCCUCCAAG